rnacentral:rRNA from 1 species
AACGAACGCUGGCGGCAUGCCUAACACAUGCAAGUCGAACGACACCUUCGUGUCUGGUUGCUCACGGGUGCGUCACGCGUGGGAACCUGCCCUUAUGUUCGGAAUACCUCCCCUACGGGGGUGCUAAUACCGGAUAAUGUCUUCUAACCCAAGAUUUAUCGUGUUUGGAUGGGCCCGCGUUGUUUUAGCUUGUUGGUAUGGUAAAAGCCUAUCAAGGCGUCGAUAGAUAGCUGGUCUGAGAGGAAGAUCAGCCACACUGGGACUGAGACGCGGCCCAGACUACUACGGGAGGGAGGAGUGCGUGAUAUUGGAAAAUGGGGGAAAGGAUGAACGAGCAAGGCCGGGUGAGUGAUGAAGGCGGGAGAGAUGAAAAGCACUUUUACCCGGGACGAUAAUGACAGUACCGGGAGAAUAAGCACCGGCUAACUCCGUG